rnacentral:rRNA from 1 species
CCUACGGGAGGCAGCAGUGGGGAAUUUUGGACAAUGGACGCAAGUCUGAUCCAGCCAUGCCGCGUGCGGGAAGAAGGCCUUCGGGUUGUAAACCGCUUUUGUCAGGGAAGAAACGGCUUUCUCUAAUACAGAGAGCUAAUGACGGUACCUGAAGAAUAAGCACCGGCUAACUACGUGCCAGCAGCCGCGGUAAUACGUAGGGUGCAAGCGUUAAUCGGAAUUACUGGGCGUAAAGCGUGCGCAGGCGGUUAUGCAAGACAGAGGUGAAAUCCCCGGGCUCAACCUGGGAACUGCCUUUGUGACUGCAUAGCUAGAGUACGGUAGAGGGGGAUGGAAUUCCGCGUGUAGCAGUGAAAUGCGUAGAUAUGCGGAGGAACACCGAUGGCGAAGGCAAUCCCCUGGACCUGUACUGACGCUCAUGCACGAAAGCGUGGGGAGCAAACAGGAUUAGAUACCCUGGUAGUCCACGCCCUAAACGAUGUCAACUGGUUGUUGGGAGGGUUUCUUCUCAGUAACGAAGCUAACGCGUGAAGUUGACCGCCUGGGGAGUACGGCCGCAAGGUUGAAACUUAAAGGAAAUUGACGGNNGNGAGNGCGAGAGACGACGAGGAGGAGG